rnacentral:piRNA from 1 species
UGCUUUGUAGGCUUUGAUCCUUGGACCAGC